UACGUAGGGGGCAAGCGUUGUCCGGAUUUACUGGGCGUAAAGAGCGUGUAGGCGGCCACGCAGGUCCGUUGUGAAAACUGGAGGCUCAACCUUCAGACGUCGACGGAAACCGUGUGGCUAGAGUCCGGAAGAGGAGAGUGGAAUUCCUGGUGUAGCGGUGAAAUGCGCAGAUAUCAGGAAGAACACCAAUGGCGAAGGCGCUCUCUGGGACAGGUACUGACGCUGAGACGCGAAAGCUAGGGGAGCAAACGGG
rnacentral:rRNA from 1 species